CAACAUCACAUUGAAACACCAGUUCCUUUACAAUCACCGAAGUUGAGCAACAUUGAGCCUGAUCUGUACCUAGAUGGGUGACCACUUGGGAAUACCCUGUG